rnacentral:rRNA from 1 species
UACGUAGGUGGCGAGCGUUGUCCGGAUUUAUUGGGCGUAAAGCGCGUGUAGGCGGUCCGGUAAGUCCGCUGUGAAAGUCGGGGGCUCAACCCUCGAAUGCCGGUGGAAACUGUCGGGCUAGAGUACGGAAGAGGCGAGUGGAAUUCCUGGUGUAGCGGUGAAAUGCGCAGAUAUCAGGAGGAACACCAAUUGCGAAGGCAGCUCGCUGGGACGUUACUGACGCUGAGACGCGAAAGCGUGGGGAGCAAACAGG